GACAGAUUCAAAAAUUCCAGAUGCGCAAUCCGGAUAUGAAAAAGGCUAUACUGUUUCAUUAGCAGGACAUUCCGGCGCAAAUCUAAUUUAUGAAUCG
rnacentral:ncRNA from 1 species